ensembl:lncRNA
CCGACCGCUAGACUACACUCCUCCACCGAGCACCGUCAGGUGGAGACAGUUUAAUAACACUCCUCCACCGAGCACCCGUCAGGUGGAGACAGUUUAAUAACACUCCUCCACCGAGCUCCGUCAGGUGGGGACAGUUUAAUAACACUCCUCCACCGAGCUCCGUCAGGUGGAGACAGUUUAAUAACACUCCUCCACCGAGCUCCGUCAGGUGGGGACAGUUUAAUGACACUCCUCCACCGAGCUCCGUCAGGUGGGGACAGUUUAAUAACACUCCUCCACCGAGCUCCGUCAGGUGGAGACAGUUUAAUAACACUCCUCCACCGAGCUCCGUCAGGUGGAGACAGUUUAAUAACACUCCUCCACCGAGCUCCGUCAGGUGGGGAC